CAGGGGAGCACUUCGCCCAGGAAUGCAACCGAACAGUAUCUGAGAAAUGCAUAUAGGUAUAACGGAGUUUAGAAGGAAAAAUAAUGCCUACUGCGGAACACACAAAGCUGUCGUCCAUAAAACACCGAUGUCGAGCCGAAUGAACAGCGGCGCGCAAGCGCGCACGACCUGCAUUUUUAUGCCCGCGACCGGAUCCGCGCACAGAUUUUUUUUCUCCGGGUCUAGAGAGAGAGAGAGAGAGAGAGAGAGA
rnacentral:lncRNA from 13 species